rnacentral:RNase_P_RNA from 13 species
AAUUGGGAAGAGAAAGAAAGAAUGGUGGAUUGAAAAGAGGGGGGAGUGACGGAAAACAAAGAACGGUAUAAUAUCCCACAUAAUUGACAGAUAUUACCACUCACUGUCCUCAUCUCUUCUUCCUCCUCCUCUUCUUUCUUUCCCUCUUUUACUUUCGUUUUCCCUUCGUCAACCUCCAUUUGAUCAGAAAAUGAAGAGAGAGGGAAUAGAAGGCCAAGAAGUAAAAUUUGAAGUUUCGAAAAAAGAGAAGA